AUUGAACGCUGGCGGCAUGCUUUACACAUGCAAGUCGAACGGUAGAGGGGCAACCCUUGAGAGUGGCGAACGGGUGAGUAAUGCAUCGGAACGUGCCCAGUAGUGGGGGAUAGCCCGGCGAAAGCCGGAUUAAUACCGCAUGAGACCUGAGGGUGAAAGCGGGGGAUCGCAAGACCUCGCGCUAUUGGAGCGGCCGAUGUCAGAUUAGCUAGUUGGUGGGGUAAAGGCCUACCAAGGCGACGAUCUGUAGCUGGUCUGAGAGGACGACCAGCCACACUGGGACUGAGACACGGCCCAGACUCCUACGGGAGGCAGCAGUGGGGAAUUUUGGACAAUGGGCGCAAGCCUGAUCCAGCCAUGCCGCGUGCGGGAAGAAGGCCUUCGGGUUGUAAACCGCUUUUGUCAGGGAAGAAAUCUUCUGGGCUAAUACCCUGGGAGGAUGACGGUACCUGAAGAAUAAGCACCGGCUAACUACGUGCCAGCCGCCGCAGUAAGAC
rnacentral:rRNA from 1 species